CCACAACUCCAUGGGCAGCCUGCGCUGCAUAGUGAGUUCAGGCCUGCCUGAACGUGAAGACCUGCCAGACCCUGUGUCAGAUCCCUAGUUAUAAAUGUGUGAGCUGUAGACUUCAUCAUUUAAGUGUACGAUCCUGCCAUCGAGCACGCUGCCAGUGUCGUGGACCUGUCGCUACUGUUUUCAAAGUGCGUUCGCGAUCCCAGGCAGAGGCCGUCCGUGGUCCUAACCGCGCUUCCCUCCACAGCUGUGCCCGUCCCCCGCUGCCUCGGACCCCGCGCCGCCCCUCCUCGCCGCCUUCGGGGUCGCGCCUCUGCGAGCCAGCGGAGCUGCCGUCGGGCGGGGUUGCCGAGGCUGCGGGCGCGGCCUUCACCCGGAGGCGCCCCGGUGCGUCCGAGGCCCCGAGUGUGCGUGUCGCGGGCGCUCGGGGCUCUGCGGAGUGGGUGCGAUGGCGUCGCCGUCCAGGUCCGCGGGCCGCGCACUCAGGCCGGCCUCCCAGGCCGCUUUUCUCUGGGAAGGGAGCCCGCGCUGGCCGGCUGAGGGGUCCGGUACCGCGCCUGCUCCCCGAGAGCCCGGAUGUCGCGAGACCCUGCCGGGGAGCCCUGCGCUGCGGCCUGCGGUCUCAGUCCCUCCGGAUGCCCCAGGCCGCAGCGCGCCGAGGAUGGUGACCGAAUGCCGGGCGCAGCGGAAGGCGCCCAGGAGGCUCCGGGGACAGGAGGGAAGGGUGGGCGCGCCUCGCUGCAGCUCCCUCCUCCGCUUCCGGCCUCCACCGAGCAGCCUCGGCCUCGGAGCCGCCGAGCGGGCCUAAAGCCGGCGCCGAAGUAACUCCCUCCUCCGGACCCCACGAGGUGAGCGGAUGCUUCGUUCUUUGUCCCCCACCUUGAUGUGUGGCAACUCCGCAGCCCCGAAAGCAGCAGGAGCGACUGAUCCCAGCCUGGAAACACCGAAGCCGUGAGACAGAAAAUCUUCCCUCUUUCUAAGAUGAUUACCUCAGAACUUUCAAGAGCAAGUUAAAAGAAAACACCACGAGGAGGAGUAAAGAGAAAGACUGCAGAAGAAAGAAAAAUGCUUUUAGGUUUUAGUAACUCGAAUGGCAUUUGCUUUCUUUGUUCUUGAACAAGGGGCCCCACAUUUGCGUUUUGUAUUGCAUUGGCAAAUUAUAUAACUGGG
ensembl:lncRNA